CGAAAGCCUGACGGAGCAAUACCGCGUGAGGGAGGAAGGCUCUUGGGUUGUAAACCUCUUUUCUCAGGGAAGAACAAAAUGACGGUACCUGAGGAAUCAGCAUCGGCUAACUCCGUGCCAGCAGCCGCGGUAAUACGGAGGAUGCAAGCGUUAUCCGGAAUGAUUGGGCGUAAAGCGUCCGCAGGUGGCAUUGAAAGUCUGCUGUCAAAGAGUCUGGCUCAACCAGAUAAAGGCAGUGGAAACUACAAAGCUAGAGUACGUUCGGGGCAGAGGGAAUUCCUGGUGUAGCGGUGAAAUGCGUAGAGAUCAGGAAGAACACCGGUGGCGAAAGCGCUCUGCUAGGCCGUAACUGACACUGAGGGACGAAAGCUAGGGGAGCGAAUGGGAUUAGAUACCCCAGUAGUCCUAGCCGUAAACGAUGGAUACUAGGUGUUGCUUGUAUCGACCCGAGCAGUACCGUAGCUAACGCGUUAAGUAUCCCGCCUGGGGAGUACGCAGGCAACUGUGAAACUCAAAGGAAUUGACGGGGGCCCGCACUAGCGGUGGAGUAUGUGGUUUAAUUCGAUGCAACGCGAAGAACCUUACCAGGGCUUGACAUGUCGCGAAUCCUUGUGAAAGCAGGGAGUGCCUUCGGGAGCGCGAACACAGGUGGUGCAUGGCUGUCGUCAGCUCGUGUCGUGAGAUGUUGGGUUAAGUCCCGCAACGAGCGCAACCCUCGUUUUUAGUUGCCAUCAUUAAGUUGGGCACUCUAGAGAGACUGCCGGUGACAAACCGGAGGAAGGUGAGGAUGACGUCAAGUCAGCAUGCCCCUUACGUCCUGGGCUACACACGUACUACAAUGUUACGAACAGAGGGCAGCUAACCAGCGAUGGCAAGCUAAUCCCGGAAAUCGUAGCUCAGUUCAGAUCGCAGGCUGCAACUCGCCUGCGUGAAGUUGGAAUCGCUAGUAAUUGCAGGUCAGCAUACUGCAGUGAAUUCGUUCCCGGGCCUUGUACACACCGCCCGUCACACCAUGGAAGCUGGUAGUGCCCGAAGUCAUUACCCCAACCUUUCGGGGAGGGGGAUGCCUAAGGCAGGACUGGUGACUGGGGUGAA
rnacentral:rRNA from 1 species